GAGGCGCUGCUGUGUGUCAACGUUGGUUCGUUAAAUGAAGCGCAGAAGAAGAAGCGCGGGACAGUUUCCGGGUCGGUCCGGAUUGGAUGACGUUUGUUUCCAGCUGCUGGUGGAUCAGGACUCUCCGGAGGACUUCUUCUCACGUCGACUGUCGGAAGUGUGUGUGCUGCAACCUUCACCUGUCAGCUGACCUGCUGACUCCCUGAGCGCGCUCAGUAGGGGGGUUCCCCUCCACACAGCCAGGUUUCUGUUCCAACACGCGGAUUACGUCAGACCGCCAUCAUGGUGUUAGCCGACCUGGGGAGGAAGAUCACCUCGGCGCUGAGGUCACUCAGCAACGCCACCAUCAUCAACGAAGAGGUAAGUCAGAGCCGGGACGCACUGA